UAUAUGACUGGAAAAUAUAUAUACAUGGAUAAAGUUAUAAAAAUAAGAGCGCCAUACAUUUUAAAAUUCAAAAUAUUUUCAACAUGGCGCACCUUGUAAAGGAAAACCCAAAUUCUAGAUUCAUCCUUGUAUAUAAACAGUUAGCAGAAAACUGUUAGACAGAUAACUAUAUGCUAUUAUUCAUUAAUGAAAUAUUAUUAAAACACAUUCUGCAUUUGAAUUAUUCCAAAACAUUCCAAAAGUUAUAUUUGGUAUAUCAAUAUACUUUUGCGUUUAAAUGUACCUUAGUGUGCAAAACAUACCAGAUUGUAAACCAAAGCAACUAACUUUUUUAACAACUUAUUUGAUCGCAAUUAAAUAUUCAUGAUUCAUAAAUUUUGUAGUUUUCUAUCUUUAAAAUUUCGCAGGGUGUUUCGGUUAGUGGACGUGAUAAAAAUCGAAAGUUUCUAUAGUGUUGCGACUCAUUCUUGAAUAUCACCGGGGGCCAUGGUAAUCUUCCAACCGUUAUAAAUUCCUGCCACUGCACUAUGGUCCCAAAUCCCAAUUUGGUGGCAUAAAAUCGAAUAUUGCAUCUAUCGAGCUGAAACUUGGCAUACUUCAUUAAUAGACCACUCUAAAUAUUUAAGCAAACUUUCAAUGUACAUUCAUCUAUUUGACCAAAUACAAGUUCAACCAGCGCGGAAGAGUGGCGCCCGAUGUCCAUCCACACGUCCAGCAACGUGGCAUGACAGAAUUCAAGCACAUCUAAAUAAUUAAAGCAUCGGAAAAGCCGCAAAAAGCCGCAAACCAAACUAUUAUUAAAAUUUAAUAUAAAGUGUCUACUAUUGUUUAACAUACAUUAAACAACGCACAAAUACGCAGAACACUUUUUUUUCCUCUACAGAAGAGGAACACUUUUGUCAGCUUUUUGAUUUCCUUGGACAACACAAAACAGUACAAAUAUAUAACGUUAAACAAAUUACCACACAAACUGUGUUUAUUAUUCGUAAUUUACAUACCUCCAACUUCAAUAUCCAUUUUAAAUAAUAGAA